rnacentral:tRNA from 2 species
CGGGCUGUAGCGCAGUUUGGUAGCGCGCUUCGUUCGGGACGAAGAGGUCGUGGGUUCGAAUCCCGCCAGCCCGACCA